AAAUUCAUCACUUUCUGAGCAAAUGAUUGGUCAAAAUGAUACAAAUUCAAGAAAAAGAAAAUCAAUUUCCAAGGGAAAAUCAUCCAAGAUUGUCAAUGAUAAAAAUGAAUCAAAUGCCAAAAGAAGCAAGUCUGAGGAAAAUGAAAAUAAAGUAACAAAAAAAGAGGAAAAUGCUGUUUUAGAAGAAAAUAAAGAUAACCAAAAGGCAACAGAACCACCAAAGGACUAUAUUCAU
rnacentral:misc_RNA from 1 species